AUACUCGUGCAAGUCGAGUUUUGUUAAUACACGCGUUUAGCUGGACUUAAUAGGAGAACCAUCUUUCUAUUUUAUUGUAGUAGUAAAUGUUAAUGAAAUUAUACGUAAGCUUAUAGUGUAGAGUACUGUGAAGGACUAUUGAAAGACAAGUUAAUAGAUUCAAAGAAGAUAUUAAAAAUCGUACCUUGUGUAUCAGGGUUUAGUAAAAUUUUAUUAAAAUAAAUUUAUCCCGAAAUAGAGCGAGCAAUAUUUUUAAAACAUUAAAUAUAACAUAAUUUUUGUAAAUUAAAAUAUAGGGUAAAAGGCCAUACGAGCUCUCAUAUCUGGUUCCGUGAAAAAUGAAUUCAAUUCAGAUAGUUUCAGUUUUAAUUUUUUUAACUAAUUACAUUAAUUUUAACUAAGAAAGUUAUAGAGGGAUGAGCUUCUAUAGUAAUUUGGCAUAAUUAUUUCAAUAAACUAAAAUGAUUUUAGGUUUAGUGAUGACCUCAACCACGAAGUUUAUUAUAAUUUACAUUUACGAAUAAAAUAUUUUUUAUUUAUUUGCCAUUUUAUCACGGUAUUAAGGUUUCCCCAACCUCUUAAGAAAUAAUGCUAAAAUUAGUACAAUAAAGUGUUUCUUCAGAUUAUAAAAUAAAGGAAAAUAUUACAACAUUUUAGUUAUUUUAAAGGAACUCGGCAAACAAGUUUUCCGCAUGUUUAUCAAAAACAUCUCCUCUUGCUGAUAUAAGAGGUACCAUCUGCCCAAUGCAACAUUGUAAAUGGCCGCAGUAUCCUGACUGUGCUAAGGUAGCAUAAUCAUUAGUCUUUUAAUUGGAGGCUGGUAUGAAUGAUGAGACGAGAAAACAACUGUCUCUAAAAUAAAUUUGGAACUUCAUUUCUAAGUGAAAAAGCUUAGAUGAUUUUGAAGGACGAUCAGACCCUUUGGAGCUUUAUUUAUACUAAUAAUCUUAGUUUAUAUUAUAAAACUAGACUUUAAAUAAAUUUUGUUGGGGCGACAGAGAGUUAAAAAUAACACUCUUUUUUUAUAACAAUCAUAAAUGAAAAAAUGAUCCUCGACGAGAGAUUAGAAGACUAAGUUACCCUAGGGAUAACAGCGUAAUCUUUUUGGAGAGUUCUAAUCGAUAAAAAGGUUUGCGACCUCGAUGUUGGAUUAAGAGAUUAGCAAGGUGCAGAAGUUUUGCUAGAGAGUCUGUUCGACUCUUGAUUUCUUACAUGAUCUGAGUUCAAACCGGCGUAAGCCAGGUUGGUUUCUAUCCUCAAAUUUAAUUUGGCCCCUUUAGUACGAAAGGAUUAAGGGGUCGAGAUCUUUCUUGUCAGAAGAGAACUAAAUUAAUCUCAUAAUA
rnacentral:rRNA from 1 species